rnacentral:rRNA from 1 species
AGGACGAACGCUGGCGGCGUGCUUAACACAUGCAAGUCGAGCGGUAAGGCCCUUUCGGGGGUACACGAGCGGCGAACGGGUGAGUAACACGUGGGUGACCUGCCCUUAGCUCUGGGAUAAGCCUGGGAAACUGGGUCUAAUACCGGAUAUGACCUCAUGACGCAUGUUGUGGGGUGGAAAGCCUUGUGCGGCUAGGGAUGGGCCCGCGGCCUAUCAGCUUGUUGGUGGGGUGAUGGCCUACCAAGGCGACGACGGGUA